UCCUGAAAACAGAAGGGAUUAUUAGGAGGUAGAAUUAGUAUGUCUUCUGUUACUGCAGUGCAGUUUAGAGUCUGUGGCAUGCUAUGCAUCUAUUUCCUUCCGUUCCCAGAGGCUGAUAUUUCUGCACAACCUUGUGAUGUCUACUGUCACUUCACACUCUCCAAUGUUAUACCUGCUGCAUUUUCACUGAAGCCAAAUGUGUUGCUGCACGCUUUCGCAGGGGAAGCUAGUUCAGAGAUCCAGCUGUCAAAACCUUUCUUGUUCUGGCAGUCUUCCUUCUUGCUUGGAGAACAUAUUGAGGAAUAUAGUUAAUUUAAAAAAAUAGAGGUGUAAUUCCUAUUCUAGGCAAUGGAACCUGGCCAGAAACUUGACUGACUUGCCACUAGGUGUUUCACUUAGCCUGAGCUGAAUUGCUGCUCUCCAAGCUUCAUUGAUUUAAUCUGAAAAUGUAUUUAGUCCUCACCUCUAUGGUUUUGGGUGGGAGUGUUGCCUAGAGUGAAGAGCUGAAUUAAUGCUCAGGGAACACCAAUUAAAAAAACUAGGCCACUUUUGACUGAAAGUUGUUUCUCUAUGCACAGUCUUUUCUGUGCUUUUGUGAGUUUAAGAGCAGUGGAGUUUAAUAGAAAUACUGUCCAUAGCUGUUUUCAGGCACAAGACAUGAAGCUAGAUGCAUCUUUGGUCUGACAAUGUAUUAAUGUAUUACAAUUUCUUGCUGGUAAACUUCGAAGUUGUGGGUGUUGAUAUGUCCAGACAGGACAAGAAUAAUAAUUUAAGUGGUAGGUUGGAUGGAUUUUAGUAGAUAGAAGAAUCAAGACUAACAUAUCUUUUUAUCUUCACCAAGACCUCUUUUUGGCAAUCUACAGGUGAAAUGUGACUGUUCAUACAUAAAAUGGUAUUUAUACCACAGCAGAGUAUUAAUAUCUUAUAAUAGUUGAUUCUGUUCACUACUUGAUUAGUGAUAGCUGAUCUGGUAAAUCUAAAUGGAUUCAACACACUUCUGUAGAAUUUAUAAUCUCAUGGAUUUUGGAGGUAAAUGUCAAGAUUUUUUGUGUUUGCUACUGUAGUCUACAGCUUUAUAAAGCAAACAAUCUAUCCCAAAACCCUGCUUUUUCCUGAGUUGAAAUCUACAGAGGUGUUUAUGUUGGGUCACACUGGAGAAAAAAUAUCGAUAAGCCCUUCAAGAGCAAGUAGAUUUCUAAAGGAGAUGUCUUGGUCUGAAACAGAAUUUUGUUCACUUUCAGAACAUACUGCAAGUUUAGCUCUGUAAGAGAAGUUCCCUGAAGAGAUGUUAACCUUUUGGCGGUCACUGGUCAACAGUUGCCAGUUUGAAUGACAGCAGAGUUGGUGGUGGUACAGAGAAGAGCAGUUAGAUUGAUCAGAGUGAUGGAGCAACUACACUGAGGAGAGACUAUGAAAGCUGGGCUGAAGAAGUAGAGAAGGCUGGGGGGCUGUAGCUUUCUGUAAAAGCAUGAAGAUAGUGGAUGAGUUGAAUAAGGUAGUUGUUUGCCAGAAUUCAUGAGAUUUGAAUUAGCAGGCAUUCACUGUAACUAGUAGAUUAUUUUAAAUCAAGUAUUUAAGUAUACUUAUACAAGGUAGUGAACUGCUGCUGCAGGAGUUCUGGAGGCGAAGAGUAUCAGCAGGUUUGAAAGGUAUUAGACAAAUUCAUGUGCAACAAGCCCAUAAAUAGCGGCAGGAACAACUGAGGAUAUAUCUCCUACAUCCUUGCUGUUACCAGUGUGGACUCUGAGGAAUUACAAGGGGAACAGAUAGCGGAAAAGAACUGUGCUUGUGUGUUCUUUCUAAGUGGUGUCUUCUGUUACAACCACCAGAGACAAAACUGAAUAACCCUAUACCUUCCAACCUGAAGUCAGAAGCUAAAAAAGCAGCUAAAAUAUUGCGAGAAUUUACUGAAAUAACUUCCAGAAAUGGACCUGAUAAAAUCAUACCUCCUCAUGUAAUAGCUAAGGCCAAAGGCCUUGCAGUUUUGUCUGUUAUCAAAGCUGGAUUUUUGGUGACUGCUCGAGGUGGAAGUGGAAUUGUAUUAGCUCGUCUUCCUAAUGGAACCUGGUCUGCUCCUUCUGCAAUAGGAAUUGCUGGCCUUGGUGGUGGAUUUGAAAUUGGAAUUGAGAUUUAGUAAUAAUACUGAAUCAUGAAAGAGCAGUAGAAGCUUUUGCCAAAGGAGGUAAUCUUACACUUGGAGGAAAUCUUACCGUGGCAAUUGGACCUCUGGGGAGAAACUUAGAAGGGGAUGUUGCCCUGAGAAGUUCUGCAGCUGUCUAUACAUACUGCAAAUCUCGAGGUCUGUUUGCGGGUGUAUCCCUGGAAGGAACCUGUUUAAUUGAAAGGAAAGAAACAAAUCGCAAGUUUUAUGGGCAGGAUAUUCGUGCUAGUGCCAUCUUGCUUGGUGAUGUGCCUUUUCCGGCACAAGCAGAAGAUCUUUAUGAAACUCUAGCAUCCUUCACUGAAGUAUAUGAAAAUGAAGAGCAGAAAAAUAAUCCAGGAAAAGCUGUCAGGGAACAAAGAAGGGUAAAUGACCCACCUGCUAGACCAUCGUUGCGACCUGAACCACCUAAACCCACUGUUAGACCAACACCACCAGCUAAAAAGAAUACAAACAAACUUUAUCCUGAGCUUCCAAAUGAUUAUGCCUCUGGGGGUAACUCUUGGAAUAAUCCGGUAGAAGUGACAGCACUUUAUUCAUUUGAAGGACAACAGCCAGGUGACUUGACUUUCAAAGCUGGAGACAAAAUCAUGGUCACAACCAAAACAGAUUCCCAGUUUGAUUGGUGGGAAGGUAGAGUAGGAGGACAAA